rnacentral:ncRNA from 1 species
AAAUCAUAAAAGGGGUGCUUUCUGAAAAUGCAGAAGGCUGAGAUUAUACUCUUAGAACUUGGGCAGGUAAUGCUGCCAAAGAAUUAUCUUCAGGAUUGA